rnacentral:lncRNA from 1 species
AGGAAAUCCACAAGGUGAGACCUAUGAUUGCCUCAGUUCUGUGCCUUUAUGCAAUUUCCUGAGUGCAACACAGGAAGCUGGAAUCCAAUCAGAUACACUGGUUCCUCUGGGCUAAAGAAGCAGAGAUCGGAGUCCAGAGAAUGUGGCAGAAUCUGAAGAGAAAUUCAUCAAAAAGGGAGACUCCAGAAGUCAUGUGGGCUUCCAGUGGGUCUUCGGCUGCAGGAGGCCUUGACAACUACGGGGCAUCACAGUCUGGGGCUACCUGUUGUCCAACACCUGAAAACAGUUGUUUCAUUUAUCUUGUUCGGUUUUCCAGUACUUGCAGUAGGUCUGUGACACUGAAAAGAGACGAGCAUGUAGGCCCAGCUGGGGCUCUACAGGGGACUCUGGGCAGCCAAAAGUUACAGGUGACUGGGAAUGUGAAAAAAGAGGCCACACGUUUGACAAAGGAAUACAGAAAGAAGGGAAGAAAAUCGUCCAGACCAGUCUGGACCAGACCUGAAAAUCGCUGCCAUGACCUUGUUACUCAGAGCACUUUCCACACACUUACACUAAGGAGUCAAAUCAUCCCCUUCACUCCAUUCUCCUCUACAAGUAAGCUCUGUCUUCAGGAUUAUUUACAUGACCAUCCCUUCUUCGCAAGGACAAGAUGUCUAUGAAUUACACUGGAGUCAAAUUGGCCUCGUGGAAACAAACUGCCCUUUUUCAGACAAGGGUCCAUGGAGCUUAUGAAGAGGGCAGAAAAAGCCUUAGGUUCUCUUCCAAAUGCUCAUGGUUCUGGGGGCAGGACCCGCUCAGGUUGUUUCCUCUAAGGCCCAGCCUUCCACGCUCGCUCCUGACCAGUAAGAUUCAGUAAUCCUCCUCUUGCCGUGCUCCACCACCUGUUUGGGAAGCCAGGGAAACACUGAUGACAUGACUUUAAAGAACGCAAUUUUAUUUUUGAAUUUUUUCCAUCAGGAAAUGGACUGUUGUCAACUUACGUCUUUGCUUUUUAUUGGUCAUUUUCAAUGAGUUUGUCUCUGCAUCCGUUUUCAUAUGACCUGUUGGUUCUCUGUAGCACUGGAUCUUCUGUUGGUAAAGGUAAUUAGGUAGAUGAGAUUAUUACUAUUUCAGCAGGGAAAAUAAAAGGACUUAAGCAAACCUGUUUGAGGGUAGUGCUUAAACUGGAGAAAAUUCUCUAGAUUAAAACAACAGAAGGGGAGGAAAUGAAAACCAAUUGGGGGGCUCAGAAUUGGAUCAAGAGCAGAGGAGUCUGACUCAGUGUGAAGGAAGGAAGAAGUGUAGACUGAUCUGUGCGGGUCCAUUUCUCCCAAUGAUGGCAGCUGGUAAAGGCUGCAGCCUAGCACAUUCAAAUAUUGAAUUCUGCUGUUUUUCUGAAUUGGCGUAAAAUAAUGUUUCCUGGCUACGUGAUGUCACUCUUCUUUCGUAUAGGACAUACAGAGGCUUCUUUCAGAGACGCCACAGGUUACAUUCUGUGGCUGGCUAUUAU